rnacentral:tRNA from 1 species
GGGGUUGUGGCUUAGUGGUAGAGUACUUGCCUAGCAUGCAUGAAGCCCUGGGUUCGAUUCCUCAGUACCA